UAAUACUGGAUAGGCAAUUUUUCCUGUAAUGGUUUUUUGUUUAAAUGUUUUUUCGCCUAAGGAUGGGUCUGCGGCCGAUUAGGUAGUUGGUUAGAUAAUGGCUUACCAAGCCUUUGAUCGGUACGGGUUGUGAGAGCAAGAGCCCGGAGAUGGAACCUGAGACAAGGUUCCAGGCCCUACGGGGUGCAGCAGGCGCGAAACCUCCGCAAUGUGAGAAAUCGCGACGGGGGGAUCCCAAGUGCCAUUCUUAACGGGAUGGCUUUUCAUUAGUGUAAAGAGCUUUUGGAAUAAGAGCUGGGCAAGACCGGUGCCAGCCGCCGCGGUAACACCGGCAGCUCUAGUGGUAGCAAUUUUUAUUGGGCCUAAAGCGUCCGUAGCCGGUUUAAUAAGUCUCUGGUGAAAUCCUGUAGCUUAACUAUGGGAAUUGCUGGAGAUACUAUUAGACUUGAGACCGGGAGAGGUUAGAGGUACUCCCAGGGUAGAGGUGAAAUUCUGUAAUCCUGGGAGGACCGCCUGUUGCGAAGGCGUCUAACUGGAACGGUUCUGACGGUGAGGGACGAAAGUUAGGGGCGCGAACCGGAUUAAAUACCCGGGUAGUCCUAACUGUAAACGAUGCGGACUUGGUGU
rnacentral:rRNA from 1 species